UGCCUUUGCAAUGUAUAUUACAUGCUUGGCACUCAGUAGUGUCUGUUUCUUUAAGACCCUCCAUUUUCUUGAAGCCUAGAGGCGGGUCUUCUCUGUACUCUCUAGGGCUUGCUGGGACAUAUCCUGUUCAGUCCAGCUCUGGCUACUAUAGUGACCAGAUCCACAGGACAUCUUAAAGCUAUUACAGAUUGCAAACCUGACGAACACCAAAGCCUUUUUACCUCACAUAUCAUCCCAUAUCAUAUCAUAUGAACAUUAUUGUACACAUUCCUGUUCAUUAUAUCUCAGUAAAGAUUGCAUCAGUUCAGCAAA